UACGUAGGGUGCAAGCGUUAAUCGGAAUUACUGGGCGUAAAGCGUGCGCAGGCGGUUUUGUAAGUCUGUCGUGAAAUCCCCCGGGCUCAACCUGGGAAUUGCGAUGGAGACUGCAAGGCUAGAAUCUGGCAGAGGGGGGUAGAAUUCCACGUGUGAGCAGUGAAAUGCGUAGAGAUGUGGAGGAACACCGAUGGCGAAGGCAGCCCCCUGGGUCAAGAUUGACGCUCCAUGCACGAAAGCGUGGGGAAGCAAACA
rnacentral:rRNA from 1 species